rnacentral:lncRNA from 10 species
UGCAGUUCCUGGAAGAGCCAUAUUUCUCGCCAUCACAGCUUUUCCAGAAGCUAUGCUCUUUGUUUAGUACGUUCUUCUCUUCCUCCCCUCACCAUCUCUACUUCCACUCAUCCUUCAGGUAUAUCAGCUUAGAUACCACCCUGUCACGUGGCCAUCCUGGACAUCGCCUCCUUAACACUAGUCAUGUGCCAAGAUUUAAGACUCACCAACUGAAGUUGGACCUUUUAUCCGAUGUCAUAACUCAAAGCCCAGCACAGGCUGUCCACCCACAUGGCCACCUCCUGCUGUUGUGGACUCUGCUCGGGCAGUGGAUGAAGUGUACCCACUGGGAAGUGGGUGGGGUAUACAGUAAACAAGACUGGCUGUGAGCUGAUCUUUGUCAUAGCUUUAUGGUGGGGAUACAGAGGCUCAUUCUACUGUUUUUUUUUUUCCGUUUUGUUUUGUUUUGUUUUUGAGACAGAGUCUCGCUCUGUCUCCCACGCUGGAGUGCAGUGGCACCAUCUCGGCUCACUGCAAGCUCCGCCUCCCGAGUUCACACCAUUCUCCUGCCUCAGCCUCCCAAGUAGCUGGGAUUACAGGCACUCGCCACCACGCCUGGCUAAUUUUUUGUAUUUUUAGUAGAGAUGGGGUUUCACCGUAGCCAGGAUGGUCUGGAUCUUCUGACCUUGUGAUUCGCCCACCUCGGCCUCCCAAAGUGCUGGGAUUACAGGCGUGAGCCACCAUGCCCGGUCUGUUUGUUUGUUUUUUGAGACAGAGUCUUGCUCUGUUGCCCAGGCUGGAGUACAGUGGCGCGAUCUCAGCUCACUGCAACCUCCACCUCCCGGGUUCAGGCAACUCUUGUCUCAGCCUCCCAA